CGGGCGUCUAGCGUAUCCGCUCCUUCCGCUUUCCCAGCAGGCUCCGCGCGGCGCCUGCGUGCUCUGUGACCUUUCCCAUUCUGUCGCGGAAUCUAGUGUGGCCUUGAUCCCGCUGAGAUGCUUCAAAGCUUUAUUAAGAAGGUCUGGGUCCCCAUGAAACCCUACUAUACCCAGGUUUACCAGGAAAUUUGGGUAGGAGUGGGGUUGAUGUCCCUCAUCGUUUAUAAAAUCAGGAGUGCUGAUAAAAGAAGUAAAGCUCUGAAAGGCUGCAGUCCUGCGCAUGCCCAUGGCCAUCACUAACUGCUCCCCCAGUCCACUCAGGAUGAAUACGUCAGCUGAACUUAAGCAAGCUGUGUAGAUGGGAACAUGGAACAUCACUGUACAGUUACCUAAGUACCGUUUACAAUGUGGCAUUAAUAAAUGUGUCUGAGAAGCACCACUCCCUGUGAAUACCACUGUCUGCUCCCCUGAAUAAAUCCUUGGUAAAGCGGCCGGCUCCAUCAGAACCUCUGAGACGACUUCCUUAGGGAUCCUGAGGACCAAGAAGCAGUGUUUGCUGCCCUAAGAUUGGACAUCAGGAUCUAGUGUUAACUUUGAUAUUAUUAACUAAUAAUAUUCAAUAAUUAUUUGCCAAAUGGUUUUGCUUCUG
rnacentral:lncRNA from 1 species